GAUGAACGCUGGCGGCGUGCCUAAUACAUGCAAGUCGAGCGAACAGAUGAGGAGCUUGCUCCUCUGACGUUAGCGGCGGACGGGUGAGUAACACGUGGAUAACCUACCUAUAAGACUGGGAUAACUUCGGGAAACCGGAGCUAAUACCGGAUAAUAUAUUGAACCGCAUGGUUCAAUAGUGAAAGACGGUUUUGCUGUCACUUAUAGAUGGAUCCGCGCCGCAUUAGCUAGUUGGUAAGGUAACGGCUUACCAAGGCAACGAUGCGUAGCCGACCUGAGAGGGUGAUCGGCCACACUGGAACUGAGACACGGUCCAGACUCCUACGGGAGGCAGCAGUAGGGAAUCUUCCGCAAUGGGCGAAAGCCUGACGGAGCAACGCCGCGUGAGUGAUGAAGGUCUUCGGAUCGUAAAACUCUGUUAUUGGGGAAGAACAAAUGUGUAAGUAACUAUGCACGUCUUGACGGUACCUAAUCAGAAAGCCACGGCUAACUACGU
rnacentral:rRNA from 1 species